rnacentral:rRNA from 1 species
ACGAGCGGCGGACGGGUGAGUAAUGUCUGGGAAACUGCCUGAUGGAGGGGGAUAACUACUGGAAACGGUAGCUAAUACCGCAUAACGUCGCAAGACCAAAGAGGGGGACCUUCGGGCCUUGCGCUAUCAGAUGAGCCUAGGUCGGAUUAGCUAGUUGGUGGGGUAAUGGCUCACCAAGGCGACGAUCCGUAACUGGUCUGAGAGGAUGAUCAGUCACACUGGAACUGAGACACGGUCCAGACUCCUACGGGAGGCAGCAGUGGGGAAUAUUGGACAAUGGGCGAAAGCCUGAUCCAGCCAUGCCGCGUGUGUGAAGAAGGUCUUCGGAUUGUAAAGCACUUUAAGUUGGGAGGAAGGGCAGUUGCCUAAUACGUAACUGUUUUGACGUUACCGACAGAAUAAGCACCCGGCUAACUCUGUGCCAGCAGCCGCGGUAAUACAGAAGGGUGCAAGCGU